CUGGCAUCAUCAUCUCUUCAUUUAGGUGUUUGAAUCAUUAUUUUGAUAAAGUUCUUGUUGUAUGAGUAGACUCUUUCUCGGGAAUCUGCUGCCAUGUAAAGUUCUUGGUUUUUAUUUAGUCGCCAAUGAGUUUCCUCUGGUUUCAAUGGCCGAAGUGCAGAAGGAGAUUACAUGAGAUGUAGGUAACAAAUUUUGGUUUUUUUAAGGUUUUUGGAACCUGCUUAUGUAUAAAUUGGACUUUGUUGUCUUUUGUUUUACUAGGACAGUUUACGUUGCUUAAAGAUUUGGAACCUGUCUCUAAACAAAUAAUGGAUUUCUGGGGGUUGGUUGUCUUUCAUCUCCACCACUUAUGGCCCAUAAAAAGGUGGGACGGCUGAUUGUCUUGCCUGUUUGCUUCGGUCACUAUUCAUUCUUUUCUUUUAUCUCCUAUUUGUUUCCUUCUACGUCCAUACUCUUUAUCUACCCUCUACCUUCUCCACCUAAUUCUAGCCCUUUAUAUUACCUCUUCUCUCUCUCUCUCUCUCUCUCCCCUCCCUCCCUUCACUUGCUAUGUUCUUCCUUUCAAGCAUUUUCUGAGUAAUUAAUAGAGUUUCAAUUGCUCCCUGUCUUCUCGAGUUUUCAGUGCUUAAUUGAACUCUUUCAAUUACAGGUUCGCUAAUCUCAUGGGUGAUUUGCUACAUACUUUUGAAUUUGUUAAAAGUUAAGUGCUCAAACGAAAAUAUGCCCUUUCCCAUAGGAUGAAUCUAACAAUUUGAAUGCUUCAGUCAAAUCAUCUAUUUCCAAUCCCUUAUCUCCCUUUGAGAUGUUUUAAUUCAUGUAGACCGUAGAGGGUAUAUAUUAUUAUCCCACACCAUUAUGUCUUCACCAAGACAGUGGACCAAUUUAGUAUCUUUCGACCCAACUCAAGAUGAAUUCCUUAAGAGACUAACUAUAUGAUUCUCUUGUUGUCAACCACCAAAUACUAGCAGUGCCUUUCAAAGAAGAAACCACUGAUGCAAAAAAUAAACUGCACUAUCAAUAGCACCAUGCCUUUAUUGCUCCAAUAUAGUACUCUAAAUGAUAAAGUGUUGCCCUUCUAAAAGUUACAAAUAAAUUAUAUUUCUGGGACAAUUCAUGCUUGUUUUUCUUCCUGUAAGGUGGUAGUCACAUAAUGGGUGGGAUACUUGUUGGUCAUUAUCCUACUUCACAUCUGGAAAAAUGAAGGCUUUGUCAUUGUUGAUUUUUCUUUGAUUCUCUAGAUGAGUGCCCCAAUGGUCUAACCUUUAUGAGACUGAGAUGGUCAAAAGGAAAAGAAACAUGUUUUCAAUUAAAUUUCCAUCUAUCUUUAGAUGAUGCAAAUAGGUCUUUAACUUUAAUUUUGUUACACUAUCAAACUUUUUACCAUCACCAUCUUGGGCACUACUUUUCUGGCUUCAAAUGGCAAUAGCAUUGAUGGAAAUUUAGGCAGGUGGUGCCAAACAUGAAUAUUAGACAGAAUGGCUUUAUGCAGAAUUGGUUAAUGUAUGCAUACAUAUCAUGCUUUUAAGGUUUACAAAAGAUCUUCAAACCUCAAUAUGUCAAUUUUGGUUGCAAUCAUUCCAAAUUCACAGGUGGUUUCUAUCACUGUUUAUGCGUAAACUGUUUCAUGGCCCAAAUGUAUCAUAUACACAGGUAACUUAUGCUUAUUUUUCCAACAAUCUUAAUAUUUCCAAAUUAUAAAAUCAGUAUGUCAAUACUAAACUAAGAUAUGCAGAAUUGAUAAAUGUAUGCAUAGAUAUCAGGCUUUUAAGGUUUGGCAAAGACUCCAAACCUCAAUAUGUCAAUUUUGGUUGAAAUCAGUCCAAAUUCAUCAUUGGUUUCUAAGUUUCCACUGUUUAUGCAUAAACUGUUAAGUUUCCUGGCCCAAAUGUAUCAUAUACACAGGUCCUUGUGCUUAUUUUUCCAACAAUUUUUAAUAUUUCCAAAUUAUAGAAUUACUUUGUCAAUACUAAACUAAGAUAUUGCAACUUUUGGGAGAUUUGGAAGCAUCACGAUGUUGGGUCCCACAGAAAUAGAUUUUUUUUCCUCUUAGUGAAAACAUAGGUUUGGCUAUUGUAAAAUCUGAAUCUUGUCAACAUGGAGAUCCUAUUGUGGUUGUUUAUCAUCAUGCAAUAAAAUAAUGUAAAAGAGCGUUCGAGUGGAUGAGGCUCCAGCCAUUGCAAGAUCUAGAGAAGGUCAGAUUUACGCAUACUUACACUCAUGUGCGGAGAGAAUAUUUCCAUGUUUCGAACCCAUGACACCUAAGUUACAAUAGAGCAAUAUUAGCAUUGCACCAAAGCCUACCCUUAAGCAAUAAAAUGAUAUUAGUAUUUCAACCUAGCGUUACUUGGACAUAUGACAUGGGUGUCAAGUCUCCCAGUCUUUUGAAGAAUCCAAUGCAGGAAACUUCUAAAAAUUGUCAUGAGGACAUGCCUAUACCUUCUCUCUCUCUCUCUAUAUAUAUAUAUAUAUGCGUGCGUGCGUGUGUGUGCUGGAAUUAAAAAACAUUCGAAUAGAAGUGCCAAAAGUACACAUGUAAAGAUCAUGGCAUCAUAAUUUGAUGGUAUGAAGUGUCAAGAAGUGACGUGAAGUUCCCCAAGUUUCCAAGCAUCCAACAUGCUAAAAAACCCAAAAUUUAGAGCAUCCAAGUAAUGUUGCAUCAGCCUCUAUAGUUCAUGCUGUGCAUGUGCAAUGGCUCAAUAUUUUUCUCAUGCACUGGACCUAGCUACCGCAUUUUACUUCUCAGUUUUCCAUGUUAACUAGAUUCUGACCAACAUGCCUGUGCUAUGGUAAAUCUUUGAUCUGUGCAAAAUCCAGGCCAAUUUGCUUGGAACUCUUCAAUACUGAAUAUGAUAAUGCUUUUUAUAGAUUAUGGCUUCACCUAGAUUUUCAUUUGAGUAAUGAAGGAUAUCGAUCAUUGAAUUAAGAUGUGAUUUCCUAAGAGCUUGUACAAGCUGGCUCUUCAACAUUUAUGGCAAAUGAAACGUGAGGUCACAUAAUAAUAUAAUAGGUUAAUUUUUUCAUCAGUUUCUGAUACAUCUCAGGGUCCUUCAGAAGUUUCUUUUAUUUGUAUUUAUGGGAGUAUCAACUGAUUUGGAUCCUAUUAUUAGGUUUCAGUCAGAAGAUUCAUUGCAAUUUUGCUUUGACAUAGAUUGCUUCUUUGACAAAUCUUGCCUAUGCCAUCAUAACUUGUAGGAAAUACGUUAACAUUCCAAGUUUGUCGUAAAAUUUGAACCUUUUUAUUCUAUUACACUCAGUUGGCACUAUAUGAUCGAUCUCUAGUCCAAGCUUGUCAAGACCAAGAAAACUUUGUUUAGAAACAUUGAGUGGAUGAUUUGAAAUAUUUUGAACCUUUAUAAUAAGAUCACCUCAUGUAACUUCUCGAUUCAAGCUUUAGAGUUUAUCAAUUUAUUGUUUAGAAAACAAUAAAUUGAUGUUUUAAUAUUUUUAGCUCUGGUAAAUAAAACUGGAGCAAAAUCUAUCACUUGCCACCUAUAUCUUGAAAGUUGCUCGUAGAUCAUUUUGCAUCCAAGAAAGCUGUUUUGCCAAUUACUACACAAUCCCAAUUUCUAAUGGUUAGGUCACUAUAAAUGUGUUAAUUGUGGCUUUAUGGACCAAUGAUAGAGUUGUUUUUUGGCUGCAUCAUCUUGUUGUCUUAUCUUGUAGGGUUGUGGUUUUUGCAGCAUGAAAAAUGUUCCUUUCCAUCUUGGUGCAAUGGUAUCUUUGGUACUCAUUGCUUACCAUAAUAAAAACUCAUUAGCUUUGCUAGUUGGUAGGAUGAUCAUAUAUGAUGUGUAAAGAUGCUCGUCUUUCAUCAAGUCCUGGUGUUCAAACUCAUGUUCAUAGAAGGAACCUGCGCAUGCAAGUCAUGUGGAUGCUCUAAAUUUAUUAGCUUCAUUGAAUUACCGUUAUGAUUAUUUGAGAAUGCACAUGUUUAUGGAAUUUAUAAUUAUACCAAUAAUAGUAGUCUAAUUAAGGAGAUGGAGUCACCAUAUCAGAAGGGCUUGUCAUAGGACCUUUUUUGGCUUGGGAUUAUAGGUUCCACAAAUAUUUUUCCUUCUAUGAACGUUGGUUGCUUUGGGCUGUGCAGUGGCAGGAACCUUCUCCCCUAGUCGUCUUGCCUGUUGCGGAGACUGACUUCAAAUUUGGCUCAACCAAGAUCCAUAAAUCGGUAGCAGGAACCAUACAG
rnacentral:lncRNA from 1 species